GUGGGGAAUAUUGCACAAUGGGCGAAAGCCUGAUGCAGCAACGCCGCGUGAAGGAUGAAGGCCUUUGGGUCGUAAACUUCUGUCCUUGGGGAAGAAAAAAAUGACGGUACCCCUGGAGGAAGUCCCGGCUAACUACGUGCCAGCAGCCGCGGUAAUACGUAGGGGGCGAGCGUUAUCCGGAAUUAUUGGGCGUAAAGAGUACGUAGGUGGUUUUUUAAGCGCAGGGUUUAAGGCGAUGGCUCAACUGUCGUUCGCCCUGUGAACUGGAAGACUUGAGUACAGGAGAGGAAAGCGGAAUUCCUAGUGUAGCGGUGAAAUGCAUAGAUAUUAGGAGGAACACCAGUGGCGAAGGCGGCUUUCUGGACUGUAACUGACACUGAGGUACGAAAGCGUGGGGAGCAAACAGGAUUAGAAACCCGUGUAGUCC
rnacentral:rRNA from 1 species